AUUCUUUCAGAAAGACUACGCAUUGAAUUUUGUAAACAUUUACUUGGUGUUACCAAAAGAGAAACACAUUUUGCCAAUCUUUCUUAACUCGGUAGAUUCACUCUGUAUUUUGUCAUUGCAAAGUCUAUGAUCAGAUACUGGUACAGGCUUGACAAUUUGGGAUCAUCUUUCCACUACUAGAGGAGGCAUAUUAAGAGUCAAAAUUACUACACGAGUUAAAAAAAAUUCCUUCACAGUA
rnacentral:lncRNA from 1 species